rnacentral:lncRNA from 1 species
CAUCCAUUAAAUGCUUCAAGAAACGAGGAAGGGGAGUACGCCAUGUUAGUGAAGGACAUUUUGCUAGUAUCAUAUAUGACAUACCUCACUGGGAAAAUUACACUGGAGUGUAUAUAUUGGGAAUGCCAGCUACAUUCGCCCUAUCUCCACUUCUCCCUUAAACUUUUAAAUCUGUCCAUCAUAUACUUCCAUCUCCCUCUACACUUCCUCAUCUUUCCCUAGUGUGGAUGCAAUCUCUUUCCAAGAGUUGCUGCUUCUCUGGAAGUCCUUGUAAUCUUUCAAGGACGUGUCAAAAAGUUGCCGGUACUUUCGGACCUCUUCGCCUUGUCAAAGCUCAUCUCCAUCUCUCCUGUUCCAUUUCUCCAUGCGAGUUGAAUACAGCCAGUGUCAGUCUCACCAUGAACCACGUCACACCACAAAUCCUCCCAGCAUAAGAAUCCAGACAAACGUCUGCCUCGCUGACAUCUAAUGUGCAAAAAUCUCAUCAAUCAAUCGGAUCAGCGCUUUAAUCCUCUUCUGUCAGCAAACAAUGGAGUUAUUACUACACCUGCUGAGAUUAUGAUGUUGAUUCAAAUUACACUGAGAUAAGACGGCACUCGGUUCUUUCAAUCAAAGGUAUUACAGCUGCCUGGUCAACGCAGUGUGUCUGUCAUAAAACCAUAUGUUACAUUCUAUUUCUCUGAAUUCUGAGGAGAUUUAAGAGAAACCAAAGCAAUGAUGAUGUGAGGCUGGAUGGGUGAAUGUUUGUGAAUCGAACAUAUCCUUUUACUGUUAUUUGAAACUGCAUUAAAACAUGGACAACAC